ACAGGAAUAGUAACAGUGAUGGUAGCAAUAGUAGUAUAAAUAAUAAUAACAAUACUAGUAGCAGCAGUAAUAGUAGUAGUUAAGGAAGUAGCAUUAGCAGCAGCAGCAGAAGUAGUAGUAGAAGUAGUAGUAGUAGAAGUAGCAGCAGCAGCAGUAGUAGCAGUAGCAGCAUCAGUAGCAGUAGUAGUAGCAGUGGUAGUAGCAGUAGUAGUUGAAGUACUAGUAGUAGUAGUAGUAGUAGUAGUAGUAGUAGUAGUAGUAGUAGUAGUAGUAGUAGUGGUAGAAGUAGUAGUAGUAGUAGUAACAGCAGCAGAAGUAGUAGUAGUCGCUGCAGCAGGAGUUGUAGUAGUAGCAGCAGCAGCAGCAGCAGUAGCAGUAUUAGUAGUAGCAGCAGCAGCAGCAGGAGUUGUUGCAGCAGCAGUAGCAGCAGCAGUAGCAGUAGUAGUAGUAGUAGUUGAAGCAGUAGUAGUAGUUGAAGCAGAAGUAGUAGUAGUAGCAGUAGUAGCAGCAGUAGUAGUAGUAGUAGUAGUAGUAGUAGUAGUAGUAGUAGUAGUAGUAGUAGUAGAAGUAGUAGUAGUAGUAGUAGUAGUAGAAGUAGAAGUAGUAGUAGUAGUAGUAGUAGUAGUAGUAGUAGUAGUAGUAGUUGUUGUUGUUGUUGUUGUUGUUGUUGUUGUGUCUGUUGUAAUAGUAGUAGUAGUUUUGCAGAAGUAGUAGUAGUAGAAGUAGUAGUACUAGUAGUAGUAGUAUUAGUAGUAGAAGUAAUAGUAGUAACUUCCAAAGCAAUGUCUGCAAGUUUAAAUUCCUUAACCCUGUUCAAGGUGUAUACACACUCAAUAUUUAACUACAGUCCAGGUUUGCAAUUAACAAACUAUCUGAGAUGCCUGUGUGUGAGUCAGAUAUGUCUGCGGCUAAUCUAUUGGUUAUAAAAUAUCACAGCCUUUUCUGAUUGGCUGAGUUCAAAUACAGAAAGUUUACCUGUUAGAUUGAAAUUCUGGAGAAAAUAUGCAGGUUAAACUUGUUGUUAAAAUGAAGUUUAUGUAAUUUCACAAACAGUAGAGUUAAUGAGUUUUUCCAUUAACAAGAAUUUCUUAAAAUAAUAAUGUAUGGAUAUCAUUUGGAAAGUGACAUGAAAUGUUGUUAAAAAGUGAUGCAUACAAGUGUUUCAGAAGUCUGUCUAGGAAUAGAACAACAACUGAAGCUCAGACCAGUUGAUGGAAGAUACUGCAGAGUUUGGCAGGGAAAUAACCCAAGACAGCAAAGCGGCUCUUUUGGCACAUUUACCAAGAGGACUAACAUGGCCACAAAUUCAUUAGAUCAUGCAGGAGCCGUACAGUAUAACAGCAGUACAAGUUCUAUAAAAGAUCCACGACCUACUGAAGCCCAGCUAAUUAACUAAAAAGUUUUUAAAAACUGUAAUUUUAUCCCACCUGGGUACUUAUAAUUUACUAAGCUGCCUACACAAGUUUUAGACUUGCAAUUACAUUUUAAAUUGUCACUUGGAAAGUAAUACAUGUACAUGCAUUAUGUUCUGAAUUUCUUUGAACAAUAAAAUUAUAUAAAAGUAUUUUAAUUAAAUUAAGCACCUAAAUUGCAUUAAAGUGAAAGUAGCUGAGAACAAGAUGUGUUUGUGAAACACAAUGUCCCCCUAUAUGAUGUUUGACCUUGAAGGAUGACCUUUACCUUGACCCUUUACCACUCAAAAUGUGCAACUCCAUAAGAUACACAUGCAUGUCAAAUAUAAAAUUGCUAGCUUCAAUAUUGCAGAAGUUACAUUACAUGAGCAAUUUUGACCCAUAUAUUUGACCUAGAAGGAUUACCUUGACCUUGACCUUUCACCACUCAAAAUGUGCAGCUCCAUAAGUUACACAUGCAUGCCAAAUAUUAAGUUGCUAUCUUCAAUAUUGCAAAAGUUUUCAUAAAAUAAGCGAUUUGGGCCACAUAUAUUUGACCUCUGACCUUGAAGGUUGACCUUGACCUUUCACCACUCAAAAUGUGCAGCUCCAUAAGUUACACAUGCAUGCCAAAUAUCAAGUUUCUAUCUUCAAUAUUGCAAAAGUAUUUAUAAAAUAAGCGAUUUGGGCCACAUAUAUUUGAACUCUGACCUUGAAGGAUGACCUUGACCUUGACCUUUUACCACUCAAAAUGUGCAGCUCCAUGAGGUACACAUGCAUGCCAAAUAUCAAGUUGCUAUCUUCAAUAUUGCAAAAGUAUUCAUAAAAUAAGCGAUUUGGGCCACAUAUAUUUGACCUCUGACCUUGAAGGAUGACCUUGACCUUUCACCACUCAAAAUGUGCAGCUCCAUGAGAUACACAUGCAUGCCAAAUAUCAA